UAUAAAUUUUAAACAAAUAAACAGGUUGGAAGUGCCCUCUGGAGAUAUGGAAGAGCAAGCAGAGCAUAGGAGACCAAAAGGAUCAUAGCAUCUUCUCUAUAGGAUGGAUUACAGUAGUCCUUAAUUUCAGUUUAUUUCUUCCCUCAUAUCAGUAUUUCAAGAAUACAUAUAUUCAUACAAAAUAAACAUUUUGUUUAAAUACAGUCAGUGCUGUGCUAAAAAUAACAGGAAUUUUUAUUGUAAAACGAACAGUAGCCAUAGAAAAGAAUUCUUAGAAAUUAUUAAGAAAAGACAAAA